GAACGGGUGAGUAAUACAUCGGAACGUGCCCAGUCGUGGGGGAUAACGCAGCGAAAGCUGUGCUAAUACCGCAUACGAUCUACGGAUGAAAGCGGGGGAUCGCAAGACCUCGCGCGAUUGGAGCGGCCGAUGGCAGAUUAGGUAGUUGGUGGGGUAAAGGCUCACCAAGCCGACGAUCUGUAGCUGGUCUGAGAGGACGACCAGCCACACUGGGACUGAGACACGGCCCAGACUCCUACGGGAGGCAGCAGUGGGGAAUUUUGGACAAUGGGCGCAAGCCUGAUCCAGCCAUUCCGCGUGCAGGAUGAAGGCCUUCGGGUUGUAAACUGCUUUUGUACGGAACGAAAAGGCUUUUUCUAAUAAAGAGAGCUCAUGACGGUACCGUAAGAAUAAGCACCGGCUAACUACGUGCCAGCAGCCGCGGUAAUACGUAGGGUGCAAGCGUUAAUCGGAAUUACUGGGCGUAAAGCGUGCGCAGGCGGUGAUGUAAGACAGAUGUGAAAUCCCCGGGCUCAACCUGGGAACUGCAUUU
rnacentral:rRNA from 1 species